rnacentral:sRNA from 1 species
GGCUUAUUCAACCUCACAACCCUGUAUCAACAAGAUUAUGAUUUCUGCACUGCAAUCUGCAAGAGCCAGAGCCCCACAUGCCAGAUGUGUGGAGAAAAGUUUCUUAAGCAUUCAGAUGAAGCCCUGAAAAUCCUAGGGGGUGUUGGACUCUUCUUUAGCUUUACAGAGGUAACAUUCUCCAGUUCCCUCACACACAUCCUUUUUAACUUGAGACUGAGAAUUAAUUGAUACUUAUCUCUCUCCCUUUGUUCCUACAGAUCCUUGGUGUUUGGCUAGCAAUGAGAUUUCGGAAUCAGAAGGAUCCUAGAGCCAACCCCAGUGCCUUUCUAUGAGACUUUGGAUCCUUCUGACUUUUCUUCUGCUCUAAGCUUUCUCUUCCUCCCUUAGGGAAUAUCUAGGGUCUGUAACCGUUUUGGUUUGAGAAAAAGGAAAGGCCCCUUGUCACAUCCUCUAAAAUUGAUGGAAUAGCAAGACUUUAUGCCUUGACAUAUUUUAGUGGGAGCCAGACUAUAAGGAAUAAAAGGAAAAACUUUCUCCCUCUCUCUCCAAGAGGAUAUGGGAAGCUUCUAUGAGUGCAUAGGAUGGGGGCUGGAGUCAUUCUUAGCUGUUUCCCUUCCUCCUCCAUCCAUAUACUGGAUCACCUCAACAUACCCUGGUGUGGCUCUAAGGGUAAAUCAGGGAUAGAGCCAAGGAGAAAACAACCAAGAACUCUUUCCUGUAAUAAGCAGGAUCCAGUUUGAGAAAGUUUAGCGAAUAUAAAAGUAAAAGCCAUUUAAAAAUCUAUAUUCUUUUUUUUUUUUGACACAGUCUUGCUCUGUUGCCCAGGCUGGAGUGCAAUGGCAUGAUCUCGGCUCACCGCAACCUCUGCCUCCCGGGUUCAAGCGAUUCUCCUG